GCUUACCCAUAUUGAUGUGUGUUAACUAACUUCUGAACCAGCAAACAUUCAGCUACCAACAUUAUGUGACCGCUUUUUAAACGCUAGGGUAGGGUUGUUAUGUGCGUGAGCCAAUUUUACAGGAAGAGUAGGAAAUUGGGAAAAAAUUACUCGAAGGAUUUAUGUAUAUAAUAGGUUAUUGUUUUACUGUUAAGAACUAAAGAGAUAAAAGCUAAAGUGUGUUAAUAAGAUUUUUUCCCUACAAUUUUGAACCAUGGUAGAUUGGAAUAUUUGGGAUGAAUAAGAUCGUCAAAGAAGGCAAGAAGCAGUAUAAGUCGAUUAUUCAUUAGUUUUUCUUUUCUUUUCUUUUUUUUUUCCGGAAAUAAUUUUCAAACGAAGAAUUUGUGCAAUUUUUUUU